GACAGAGGGUGCGAACGUUGUUCGGAAUUACUGGGCGUAAAGCGCAUGUAGGCGGCAGCGCAAGUCGGGCGUGAAAUCCCACGGCUCAACCGUGGAAGUGCACUCGAAACUGCGCAGCUAGAGUCCUGGAGAGGAAGGUGGAAUGCUUGGUGUAGAGGUGAAAUUCGUAGAUAUCAAGCGGAACACCGGUGGCGAAGGCGGCCUUCUGGACAGUGACUGACGCUGAGAUGCGAAAGCGUGGGUAGCAAACAGG
rnacentral:rRNA from 1 species